CCUUAUUAGAUACCCUGGUAGUCCACGCCGUAAACGAUGAUUACCAGGUGUCCGUGGGGCCAAGGUUCCCCGGUGCCGGCGCAAACGCAUUAAGUAAUCCACCUGGGGAGUACGUUCGCAAGAAUGAAACUCAAGGGAAUUGACGGGGACCCGCACAAGCGGUGGAGCAUGUGGUUUAAUUCGAAGCAACGCGAAGAACCUUACCUGGUCUUGACAUCCCGGUGACGCAUGGGCAAAGCCAUGUUUCCCUCGGGACACCGGAGACAGGUGGUGCAUGGUUGUCGUCAGCUCGUGUCGUGAGAUGUUGGGUUGAGUCCCGCAACGAGCGCAACCCCUGUUUCCAGUAGCCAGCAUUUCGGAUGGGCACUCUGGAGAGACUGCCUGGGAUAACCAGGAGGAAGGCGGGGAUGACGUCAAAUCAUCAUGCCCCUUAUGACCAGGGCUACACACGUGCUACAAUGGCGUAAACAAAGGGAAGCGAGACGGUGACGUUAAGCAAAUCCCAGAAAUAACGUCCCAGUUCGGAUUGUAGUCUGCAACCCGACUACAUGAAGCUGGAAUCGCUAGUAAUCGCGAAUCAGAAUGUCGCGGUGAAUACGUUCCCGGGUCUUGUACACACCGCCCGUCACACCAUGGGAGUCGGAAAUGCCCGAAGUCAGUGACCCAACCACAACGUGAACUUCGUUCGCGUGGAGGGAGCUGCCGAAGGUGGAGCCGGUAACUGGGUGAAGUCGUAACAAGGUACC
rnacentral:rRNA from 1 species